rnacentral:rRNA from 1 species
AUUGAACGCUGGCGGCAUGCCUUACACAUGCAAGUCGAACGGUAACGCGGGGCAACCUGGCGACGAGUGGCGAACGGGUGAGUAAUGCAUCGGAACGUGCCCAGUAGUGGGGGAUAGCCCGGCGAAAGCCGGAUUAAUACCGCAUACGACCUACGGGUGAAAGCAGGGGAUCGCAAGACCUUGCGCUAUUGGAGCGGCCGAUGUCAGAUUAGGUUGUUGGUGGGGUAAAAGCCUACCAAGCCGACGAUCUGUAGCUGGUCUGAGAGGACGACCAGCCACACUGGGACUGAGACACGGCCCAGACUCCUACGGGAGGCAGCAGUGGGAAUUUUGGACAAAUGGGCGCAAGCCUGAUCCAGCCAUGCCGCGUGCGGGAA